AGGAUAUAGUAAUUAUAUGUUUUCAGGCAGGUGAAGACCUCAGCUGCUAUUCUGCAGGACAUACUUUACUGACACCUGGUGCAGAAAAGAAACGAUUGAGUCAAUUUCUACGAGGAAAGACAAUUGUGUUUGAAAAAGUGUGUGUUUAGUUGAAACGCCUUCCUAAAAAAGGAGUAUUAUUAAAGAUCCAGUGAAAUACUCGGAGUUGUGCUGAAAUCAUCUGAAAACAGAAAUCUAUCUCUAUAUAGCAGUCUUUAAAAAAAAAUCUGUUCAAAUAAAACUAUUUAAAAUACA